rnacentral:rRNA from 1 species
UCGGGAAUUUUGGGCAAUGGGGGAAACCCUGACCCAGCAACGCCGCGUGAAGGAUGAAGUAUUUCGGUAUGUAAACUUCGAAAGAAUAGGAAGAAUAAAUGACGGUACUAUUUAUAAGGUCCGGCUAACUACGUGCCAGCAGCCGCGGUAAUACGUAGGGACCAAGCGUUGUUCGGAUUUACUGGGCGUAAAGGGCGCGUAGGCGGCAUGACAAGUCACUUGUGAAAUCUCUGGGCUUAACCCAGAACGGCCAAGUGAUACUGUCGCGCUAGAGUGCAGAAGGGGCAAUCGGAAUUCUUGGUGUAGCGGUGAAAUGCGUAGAUAUCAAGAGGAACACCUGAGGCGAAGGCGGGUUGCUGGGCUGAUACUGACGCUGAGGCGCGAAAGCUAGGGUAGCAAACGGGAUUAGAUACCCUUGUAGUCCCUGAGCGGGCUGGCAAGGCGCAU